rnacentral:rRNA from 1 species
CUUACCGAUGGCGACCGGCGCACGGGUGAGUAACACGUAUCCAACCUGCCGAUAACUCGGGGAUAGCCUUUCGAAAGAAAGAUUAAUAUCCGAUAGGAUAUCAAGAUCGCAUGAUCUUGAUAUUAAAGAAUUUCGGUUAUCGAUGGGGAUGCGUUCCAUUAGUUAGUUGGCGGGGUAACGGCCCACCAAGACGACGAUGGAUAGGGGUUCUGAGAGGAAGGUCCCCACAUUGGAACUGAGACACGGUCCAAACUCCUACGGGAGGCAGCAG